GGGCGAGGGCUGCCCCGGGGAACCUCCUGAAUGCGGAACUUCCCCAGCCCACAGCGCUAGGCGUUGAGGUGCGCCGGCAGCCAUGCUCCCCAAGCCUAAGCUGGGGUACCCGCUUCGGUGCUUUCAGUUAAAUCUCGGUUUGUGCGCGAGGGUCGAGCCAGCCCCUCCCUAGACAGCUGAAACUGCGGUCGCAUCCUUGCUUAGGGGCGCGGCACCGGACAAUACUUGCCAGGCAGCCCCCGUUUCCGGAAGAUAACGUUUAUUUAUAACUGCUGAGAGGUUGGUGUUCCCAAGAAUUCCUUAUCAGGAGUGAAUAAGAGCAGAGAAGCAGUGUAGCGCAGUGGGGUCCCCACCAGUAAGAUGGCAAUCUUCUGGCUUCUCUUCGGGGUCCUCAGUUCCCGC